CCUACGGGAGGCAGCAGUGGGGAAUAUUGGGCAAUGGAGGCAACUCUGACCCAGCAACGCCGCGUGAAUGAUGAAGGUUUUCGGAUUGUAAAGUCCUGUGAUGGGGGACGAACACAAUGAUGUUACCCCAAUAGCAAGCCACGGCUAACUACGUGCCAGCAGCCGCGGUAAUACGGAGGUGGCAAGCGCUAUCCGGAAUGACUCGGGGUAAAGGGUGCGUAGGUGGUGUUGGAAGUUUGCGGUGUAAUUUCGGGGCACAACCUCAGCGCUACCGCGGAAACUAGUAGACUAGAGUGUAGGGGAGGUAAGUGGAAUUCCUAGUGUAGCGGUGAAAUGCGUAGAUAUUAGGAGGAACA
rnacentral:rRNA from 1 species